rnacentral:rRNA from 1 species
UACGGGGGGGGCAAGCGUUGUUCGGAAUUACUGGGCGUAAAGGGCUCGUAGGCGGCCAACUAAGUCGGACGUGAAAUCCCCAGGCUCAACCUGGGAACUGCGUCCGAUACUGGAUGGCUUGAAUCCGGGAGAGGGAUGCAGAAUUCCAGGUGUAGCGGUGAAAUGCGUAGAUAUCAGGAGGAACACCGGUGGCGAAGGCGCCACUCUGGGCCGGUACUGACGCUGAGGAGCGAAAGCGUGGGUAGCAAACAGG